ACUGUUUGUUUUGGUAGUGCAUAUAUUAAUAGUAGAAUGACAAAUGAGAUUAGCAUGGCCCCUAUAAAAGGAUGACACACAAAUUGGUGAAACAUUCCAUUAAAAU
ensembl:snRNA U6 U6 spliceosomal RNA